UUUCCGUAGGUGAACCUGCGGAAGGAUCAUUAAAAAUGAAGCCGGGAAACCGGUCCUUCUCAUCCUUGAUUAUCUCAAUUUGUUGCUUUGGUGGGCCGCGCAAGCACCGGCUUCGGCUGGAUCGUGCCCGACAGAGGACAACAACUCUGUAUUAUAUGUCGUCUGAGUACUAUAAAAUAGUUAAAACUUUCAACAACGGAUCUCUUGGUUCUG
rnacentral:misc_RNA from 1 species